rnacentral:rRNA from 1 species
GUCGAGCGCGAAAGUCCCUUCGGGGGCGAGUAGAGCGGCGAAAGGACUAGAAAUGCGUUUCUAUGUACCCCAUGGUCGGGGAUAGCCCGGGGAAACCCGGAUUAAUACCCGACGCCCUCUUCGGAGGAAAGAUUUAUCGCCAUGGGAGCAGGGAACGUCCUAUCAGGUAGUUGGUGAGGUAAUAGCUCACCAAGCCUUAGACGGGUAGCGGGUGUGAGAGCAUGACCCGCAGUAUCGGGACUGAGACACUGCCCGGACUCCUACGGGAGGCUGCAGUAACGAAUAUUCCGCAAUGCACGAAAGUGUGACGGAGCAAUGCCGCGUGCAGGAUGAAUCCCCUCGGGGUGUAAACUGCUGUCAGUGACUAGAAAAAAAAUGAUCAGUCGCAAAGGAAGGACCGGCUAAUCUCGUGCCAGCAGCCGCGGUAAUACGAGAGGUCCGAGCGUUACGCGGAAUUACUGGGCUUAAAGCGUACGUAGGCGGAUCUACAGGUGUCCUGUGAAAGCCCACGGCUCAACCGUGGAAUUGCAGGGUAAACCGUAGAUCUUGAGGUGGCUAGGGGCUCUCGGAACGGUAGGUGGAGUGGUGAAAUGCGUUGAUAUCUACCGGAACGCCAAAGGGGAAGCCAGGGAGCUGGGGCCAUUCUGACGCUGAGGUACGAAAGCGUGGGUAGCGAACGGGAUUAGAUACCCCGGUAGUCCACGCCGUAAACGAUGUGCACUAGGUCGAGGGGGUUUGACGCCGCUCUCGGCUGAAGCGA